rnacentral:rRNA from 1 species
CGUAACACGUGAGCAACCUACCGAAGUGUGGGGGAUAGCCGGUCUAACGGCCGAGUAAUACCGCAUACGAUUCCGAAGAGGCAUUUCUUUGGAAUGAAACCUACGGGGUACUUCGAGGGGCUCGCGGCCUAUCAGCUAGUUGGUGAGGUAACGGCUCACCAAGGCGACGAUCAGUAGCUGGUCUGAGAGGAUGAUCAGCCACAUUGGGACUGAGACACGGCCCAA